GCGCCCUUGGCCGAGCGGUUUAGGCAGCGGACUCAUAAUCCGUUCCAGGGUGGUUCAACUCCACUAGGGCGCA
rnacentral:tRNA from 1 species